rnacentral:ncRNA from 1 species
UGUUUUUUUUUUUAAGCUUUUUUCUAUUCCAUUAAAUUAUUUUUGUUGUGAACAGCUGUGAUACGCUUUCAUUUCGCUGAAUUGUGUUAUUCUUAAUUGUUUCUCUUCAUGUUUAUUUUGUUGUUCUGUAUAAUAUUCUAGUCAAUCCUUGUGUUUUAUUUUGCGAAAAAUAAAGCACUAGAGAGUGAUGUUUUGACCGCGUUGAAGAAUGCUUUCGCCGUUACACGUUACUCCCUGAUGAAUUAGGCAACAGAAUAAUAAUGCAGUAUGACGUUUUUAUCUUAUCUACCACUGUGAACGAUUGGUGAAUAAUAGUUGACUCCGGAAAGUGAAAUUUGAGAUGGCUACCACAUCCAUGGGAAACAGUAGUUGCGCAAAUUACCCAUUCUCAGAAUCAGGAGAUAGUGAUGAAAAAUAAAGAGACUUUCUCUUUGAGGCUGAUUAUCAGAAUGGGUACAAUUCAAACCUGUUUGAGGGGAUCUAUGAAAGGUCGAGUCUGGUGCCAGCAGACGAGAUAACUUCCAGCUGUUAAAGUGCA